AAUUUUCAAUAUUUUCAAAUUCAACAGCUAUUCAAGAUUCGCCAUAUUUUUUGCUUUAGCCUCACCAAAAUCGAAAACAAACCCUAAAACAAUCUUCGUCACUGUCUGGACUUUCAAAUGACAUCUUUGUUUCAUAGGAUUCUAUUUUCAAUUAACAAUAUAGGCCAUCCUCUCUCUCAAACCCAAAUUUGAUUAACUUCAAAUUCAUCAAUUUUCAAAAUUUCUAAAUUUAAAUUUAUUCAAAAUCAAAUUUGCUAAUUCUUACAG
rnacentral:lncRNA from 1 species